rnacentral:rRNA from 1 species
AGAGUUUGAUCCUGGCUCAGGACGAACGCUGGCGGCGUGCCUAAUACAUGCAAGUCGAACGAGAGCGACCGGUGCUUGCACUGGUCAAUCUAGUGGCGAACGGGUGAGUAACACGUGGGUAACCUGCCCAUCAGAGGGGGAUAACAUUCGGAAACGGAUGCUAAAACCGCAUAGGUCUUCGAACCGCAUGGUUUGAAGAGGAAAAGAGGCGCAAGCUUCUGCUGAUGGAUGGACCCGCGGUGCAUUAGCUAGUUGGUGAGGUAACGGCUCACCAAGGCCGUGAUGCAUAGCCGACCUGAGAGGGUGAUCGGCCACAUUGGGACUGAGACACGGCCCAAACUCCUACGGGAGGCAGCAGUAGGGAAUCUUCCGCAAUGGACGCAAGUCUGACGGAGCAACGCCGCGUGAGUGAAGAAGGUUUUCGGAUCGUAAAACUCUGUUGUUAGAGAAGAACAAGUGCUAGAGUAACUGUUAGCGCCUUGACGGUAUCUAACCAGAAAGCCACGGCUAACUACGUGCCAGCAGCCGCGGUAAUACGUAGGUGGCAAGCGUUGUCCGGAUUUAUUGGGCGUAAAGCGAGCGCAGGCGGUUCCUUAAGUCUGAUGUGAAAGCCCCCGGCUCAACCGGGGAGGGUCAUUGGAAACUGGGGAACUUGAGUGCAGAAGAGGAGAGUGGAAUUCCAUGUGUAGCGGUGAAAUGCGUAGAUAUAUGGAGGAACACCAGUGGCGAAGGCGACUCUCUGGUCUGUAACUGACGCUGAGGCUCGAAAGCGUGGGUAGCAAACAGGAUUAGAUACCCUGGUAGUCCACGCCGUAAACGAUGAGUGCUAAGUGUUGGUCUCAUAAGAGAUCAGUGCUGCAGCUAACGCAUUAAGCACUCCGCCUGGGGAGUACGACCGCAAGGUUGAAACUCAAAGGAAUUGACGGGGACCC